rnacentral:rRNA from 1 species
CAGCCGCCGCGGUAAUACGAGGGGAGCCAGCGUUAUUCGGAAUUACUGGGCGUAAAGCGCACGUAGGCGGCUUUGUAAGUUAGAGGUGAAAGCCCAGAGCUCAACUCUGGAAUUGCCUUUAAGACUGCAUCGCUUGAAUCCAGGAGAGGUGAGUGGAAUUCCGAGUGUAGAGGUGAAAUUCGUAGAUAUUCGGAAGAACACCAGUGGCGAAGGCGGCUCACUGGACUGGUAUUGACGCUGAGGUGCGAAAGCGUGGGGAGCAAACAGGAUUAGAUACCCCCGUAGUCCCUGUCUCUUAUAC